UACGAAGGGGGCUAGCGUUGCUCGGAAUUACUGGGCGUAAAGCGCACGUAGGCGGAUUGUUAAGUCGGGGGUGAAAUCCUGGAGCUCAACUCCAGAACUGCCUUUGAUACUGAAAGUCUUGAGUAUGGGAGAGGUGAGUGGAACUGCGAGUGUAGAGGUGAAAUUCGUAGAUAUUCGCAAGAACACCAGUGGCGAAGGCGGCUCACUGGCCCAUAACUGACGCUGAGGCACGAAAGCGUGGGGAGCAAACAGG
rnacentral:rRNA from 1 species